ACACACACACACACACACACACACACACACACACACACACACAGGGCAACAAGAGAGACCUGCUGCAGCUCACUCUGGAGAUCGUAGAGAAGAGGUACACACACACACACACACACACACACACACACACACACACACACACACACACACACACACACACACACACACACACACACAGGGCAACAAGAGAGACCUGCUGCAGCUCACUCUGGAGAUCGUAGAGAAGAGGUACACACACACACACACACACACACACACACACACACACACACACACACACACACACACACACACACACAGGGCAACAAGAGAGACCUGCUGCAGCUCACUCUGGAGAUCGUAGAGAAGAGGUACACACACACACACACACACACACACACACACACACACACACACACAGGGCAACAAGAGAGACCUGCUGCAGCUCACUCUGGAGAUCGUAGAGAAGAGGUACACACACACACACACACACACACACACACACACACACACACACACACACACACACACA